UUAUUUCAUACUACAAAAUAUGGAAGAAAAAAAACCUGUGCAAGAAUAUGCCAAGUGCCAAGCACAGAGAUAAAGCAGGGGAAAACGGGUGUAAAGAUGGAACAGCCCACAAAAAAUCGUUAAAUUAGAUUAAGAAGAACUAAUGAAGUUAUAAAACAUAAACACAGAAAAACAGAUAGAAAUAUUCUAUCAAACAUCCCAACUUUUUCUGAUAAAUAAAUUCAUGACUACAUUAGAGAGAUCAGCAUACUCAUUCCGGCGACAAGGAUCAUCCGGACACAUUUGGGACAAUAGACCCGCGGGACGCGAGCCGCCGCCACCAACAACAACAACAAGGGUUCAUGGAACAUCAAAUGUUGCUACCAAUUCUGUCGGAAUGGAAACAAAUGAUAAAGCAUCCCAAAGCACCACAACCAGGGGCAGACCCACGUUGAGCAAAGGGGGUGUUGAGAGACAUCACUUCAUCGGAAAUUUUGACUACUAUAUAUUUUAAUUACUUGACAAUGGAUCCCUCUUGGCGCUUUGGUUCA